AUACUUCUUCCCAGUCACUUCUUUCCCUUGUAUCCAGAAGUAAUUACUGUUCUUCUAUUCUAGAUUUUGUCUCUUCUACUACUAUCUACCUCUAAGACACAACCCCACCCCUACUUUUUCUAUAUGGAUCUCAACUUAUUCCAGUACUACUUAUCCAAAAUACAAGUGAUAUUUUCAAUUGUGGGUACCUUUGGAACUUUUACUGAAUAUUAAUAGCCAAUAUAGUAGCCUUCUCUUGCUACUGUAACAAAUUUUACUAUAACAUUAGUGACUUAAAGUCAUGCAGAUCUGUUAUCUUACAGUUCUGUAAGUCAAAAGCCCAAUACAGGCUUCACCGGACUAAAAUCAAAGUGUGAGCAGUGCUGCAUUAUUUUCUGGAAAGGUCCAGGAAGAAUCUAUUUCCUGUUUCUAGAGCUGCUUGGAUCAUCCUUUUUUUUUGAGAGAGAGAGAGAAUUUUUUUUUUUAAUAUUUUUUAGUUUUCGGAGGACGCAACAUCUUUGUAUGUGGUGCUGAGGAUCGAACCGGGGCUGCACGCAUGCCAGGCGAGCGUGCUACCGCUUGAGCCACAUUCCCAGCCCAGAUCAUCCCCUUUUAAUCCAUCUUUAAAGCCAGCAACAGAGAAUUGAGUCCUUAUCAUAGCAUAUCUUGCCUGCCUAGCUGGGAAAGAUGAUUUUCUUUCCCUCCUCUUCCUAACCACUGUAACCUAAAGUUGUUCGGUGAGGAUUAACAAGGUAGGCACACAUGCCAGGGAAGCCGUGAUGGCCUAACG
rnacentral:lncRNA from 1 species